GAUGAACGCUAGCGGCAGGCUUAAUACAUGCAAGUCGAGGGACAGCACAGGUAGCAAUACUGGGUGGUAACCGGCAAACGGGUGCGGAACACGUACACAACCUUCCUUUAAGUGGGGGAUAGCCCAGAGAAAUUUGGAUUAAUACCCCGUAAUAUAGUUGAAUGGCAUCAUUUGAUUAUUAUAGCUACGGCGCUUAAUGAUGGGUGUGCGGCUGAUUAGAUAGUUGGCGGGGUAACGGCCCACCAAGUCUACGAUCAGUAGCUGAUGUGAGAGCAUGAUCAGCCACACGGGCACUGAGACACGGGCCCGAAUCCGACGGGAGGCAGCAGUAAGGAAUAUUGGUCAAUGGACGCAAGUCUGAACCAGCCAUGCCGCGUGAAGGAUUAAGGUCCUCUGGAUUGUAAACUUCUUUUAUUUGGGACGAAAAAGGGCCUUUCUAGGUCAACUGACGGUACCAGAUGAAUAAGCACCGGCUAACUCCGUGCCAGCCGCCGCGGUAAAAC
rnacentral:rRNA from 1 species